GGGCUACUUGGUGAUAUUGUCAGAU
rnacentral:piRNA from 1 species